GUGCUCACUAUGGCAGCACAUAUACUACAACUGGAACAAUACAGAGAAGGUCAUGACGGCCCCUGCACAAGGAAGACGUGAAAAUUCAUGAAGCAAAAAUUCAUUUU
ensembl:snRNA U6 U6 spliceosomal RNA